rnacentral:rRNA from 1 species
UACGUAGGGUGCAAGCGUUGUCCGGAAUUAUUGGGCGUAAAGAGCUCGUAGGCGGUCUGUCGCGUCGGCUGUGAAAACCCGGAGCUCAACUCCGGGCCUGCAGUCGAUACGGGCAGACUGGAGUUCGGCAGGGGAGACUGGAAUUCCUGGUGUAGCGGUGAAAUGCGCAGAUAUCAGGAGGAACACCGGUGGCGAAGGCGGGUCUCUGGGCCAAUACUGACGCUGAGGAGCGAAAAGCGUGGGGGAGCGAAACAGG